rnacentral:rRNA from 1 species
GGGUCAGUAGGUUGGUCGUGCCACCGGUACGUACUGGUCUCACUGAUUCCUCCUUCCUGAAUAACCGUAAUGCCAUUAAUUUGGUGUUGCGGGGAAACAGGACUGUUACUUUGAAAAAAUUAGAGUGUUUAAAGCAAUCUAACGCUUGAAUACAUUAGCAUGGAAUAAUGAAAUAGGACGAUCGAUCCUAUUUUGUUGGUUUCUAGGAUUGACUUA